AUUCCAGCUCCAAUAGCGUAUAUUAAAGUUGUUGCGGUUAAAAAGCUCGUAGUUGGAUUUCUGUUGAGGUUGGGCGGUCCGCACUACGUGCGAGUAUCUGCUUCGGCCUUGGCAUCCUCUCGGAAAACGCUACUGUGCUUGAUUGCAUGGUGCGGGGUUCGGGACUUUUACUUUGAGGAAAUUAGAGUGUUCACGGCAGGCAAUCGCCCUGAAUAUAUUAGCAUGGAAUAAUAAUAUAGGAUCUGAUGCCUAUUUUGUUGGUUUCUAGGCGUGAGAUAAUGAUUAAUAGGGACAAUUGGGGGGAUUCGUAUUAUGGCGUCAGAGGUGGAAUUCUUGGAUUGCCAUACGACGAACUACUGCGAAAGCAUUUCUCAGGGAUGUUUUCAUCA
rnacentral:rRNA from 1 species